rnacentral:rRNA from 1 species
AGAGUUUGAUCCUGGCUCAGGAUGAACGCUGGCGGCGUGCCUAAUACAUGCAAGUCGAGCGAACAGACGAGGAGCUUGCUCCUCUGACGUUAGCGGCGGACGGGUGAGUAACACGUGGAUAACCUACCUAUAAGACUGGGAUAACUUCGGGAAACCGGAGCUAAUACCGGAUAAUAUAUUGAACCGCAUGGUUCAAUAGUGAAAGACGGUUUUGCUGUCACUUAUAGAUGGAUCCGCGCCGCAUUAGCUAGUUGGUAAGGUAACGGCUUACCAAGGCAACGAUGCGUAGCCGACCUGAGAGGGUGAUCGGCCACACUGGAACUGAGACACGGUCCAGACUCCUACGGGAGGCAGCAGUAGGGAAUCUUCCGCAAUGGGCGAAAGCCUGACGGAGCAACGCCGCGUGAGUGAUGAAGGUCUUCGGAUCGUAAAACUCUGUUAUUAGGGAAGAACAAAUGUGUAAGUAACUAUGCACGUCUUGACGGUACCUAAUCAGAAAGCCACGGCUAACUACGUGCCAGCAGCCGCGGUAAUACGUAGGUGGCAAGCGUUGUCCGGAUUUAUUGGGCGUAAAGCGAGCGCAGGCGGUUUCUUAAGUCUGAUGUGAAAGCCCCCGGCUCAACCGGGGAGGGUCAUUGGAAACUGGGAGACUUGAGUGCAGAAGAGGAGAGUGGAAUUCCAUGUGUAGCGGUGAAAUGCGUAGAUAUAUGGAGGAACACCAGUGGCGAAGGCGGCUCUCUGGUCUGUAACUGACGCUGAGGCUCGAAAGCGUGGGGAGCAAACAGGAUUAGAUACCCUGGUAGUCCACGCCGUAAACG